rnacentral:rRNA from 1 species
ACGCUCGACACCUACGGAGGCAGCAGUGGGGAAUAUUGCACAAUGGGGGAAACCCGUGAUGCAGCGACGCCGCGUGAGUGAAGAAGUAUUUCGGUAUGUAAAGCUCUAUCAGCAGGGAAGAAGAUGACGGUACCUGAGUAAGAAGCCCCGGCUAACUACGUGCAAGCAGCCGGCGGUAAUCUGAGCGGGCUGGCAAGGC